AAUAAGUGCAGUUUUGCACUGUUCAUCUUCAACGUUUGACCGUUCGUCUUAUUUGAAAAAUUUUUAUGAUUACUAUUUUUAUUGUUAUUAGAUGGUAAAACAUGAAUAGUACUUUAUGUGUGACUAAUUUUUUUAAAUUUUUUUAUAAAUUUUUUAAAUAAGAUGGACGGUUAAAUGUUGGACACGGAUUUCUAUAAUUGUAUUUAUU
rfam:Oryza glaberrima chromosome 9 Oglab09_0107_7, whole genome shotgun sequence.